AUCACUUCUCUGCCUUUUGGCUAAGAUCAAGUGUAGUAUCUGUUUAUUGGUUUAAAUACCUGGCACAAGAUGAUGCCAUGACUAUAGUUUUCAUGGCUCAUUGCAGCCAUGAUGCAAUAAGCUCAAGAAUGCUUGCUCUCUUCCAUGUCCCUAUUGUUGUUCAAGUGCAAACACUGUGCACAUGGAAGAGGUAAG